AUUGAACGCUGGCGGCAGGCCUAACACAUGCAAGUCGAGCGGGGUUUUCGGACCUAGCGGCGGACGGGUGAGUAAUGCGUAGGAAGCUACCCGAUAGAGGGGGGAUACCAGUUGGAAACGACUGUUAAUACCGCAUAAUGUCUACGGACCAAAGUGUGGGACCUUCGGGCCACAUGCUAUCGGAUGCGCCUACGUGGGAUUAGCUAGUUGGUGAGGUAAUGGCUCACCAAGGCGACGAUCCCUAGCUGGUUUGAGAGGAUGAUCAGCCACACUGGAACUGAGACACGGUCCAGACUCCUACGGGAGGCAGCAGUGGGGAAUAUUGGACAAUGGGCGCAAGCCUGAUCCAGCCAUGCCGCGUGUGUGAAGAAGGCCUUCGGGUUGUAAAGCACUUUCAGUAGGGAGGAAGCGUUGUGUGUUAAUAGUACACAGCGUUUACGUUACCUACAGAAGAAGCACCGGCUAACUCUGUGCCAGCAGCCGCUGUAACAC
rnacentral:rRNA from 1 species